GGGGGUGUAGCUCAGUGGUAGAGUGCAUGCCUAGCAUGCACAAGGUCCUGGGUUCAGUCCUCAGUACCUCAU
rfam:Camelus ferus unplaced genomic scaffold scaffold16133, whole genome shotgun sequence.